GUUCAGACUCGUCCCGUCAGUCUCGUUCUCGUCUCUCUAAAGAUAAACUUCAUUCUUCUUCACUCAACCACAAACACUUCCUGUUCUGUCAAAACACCAGACGAAGAAACAGCUCCUGCUCCCUGCACACAGGAGACAUUUACAGACGUCACACUGGUCCUGUUCCUAGCCCCAGUCCUGGUCCGGCAGCUAUUUGUUUAUAGGGGCCCCCUCCUCCCUCCAUCCUCCAUCAUCCAUCCAUCUUCUGCCUGUUCUCCAGCUGCAGCUUGUUGUAUCAGCACACAGGGAAUUAUUUUCAACCUCAUCAAAUUGAAAACAUCCAUUAGUGCAGAGCCACAUCACAGUGAGGGGACGGAUGGAUGGAGGGGCAGAUGGGGGGGGGUAUCUCAUGUCAGCAGACGGGAUGAUUUAUUUAGGGGAGGAGAAGAAGAAGAAGAAGAAGAAGAAGAAGAACAAGGAGUAGAAGAAGAGGGAUGAAAUGAUUUGCGUGUGAAAAAGCAGUGAUGUAGAUCUGCAGAGAAAAAGAAAAAGGAGAUAAAAAGAUAAGAAGACAGGAUGAGGUGAUUGUUGGUGAAAGGAUAGAAUUACACAGCUCAGGAUUAUCUGUGCUCAGCUCACCUGGUUUACAGGUGAGAGACAGGUGAGGCGUUGGCUGAUGAGCUGAGAGCUGCUGCGACUUCAAAACAUCUUUUACCCACAAGCCUGAUCUGUGAAAACACAUUUAAACAUCAGCCAAUCAGAGGAGAGUGCUGCCUUUCUAAACAGGACAGGAAACAAGUUGUUCAGUCGAGGUCACCUGUCAGGACUUUAAUGUUCUUUUUCUUCAACAGAAUGACCUCUGACAUUCCUACAGAAACUUACUGUGUUUAAAUGUUGGUGGCACAGAAAGGUCUGUAUCAUCAGCAUACAUACAGAGUCCUUUUUAGUGGGUUCAGUGUUUACCAUGUUCACCAUCAUCAGUACAGAUGAAACUCUGGUGAAAGAGAAUUCUGAGAUCUUUGUCAGAUUAAUAUAAUAAAAUAAGGAUACUGUAUUGAUUUCAGCUAUUAGAGCCAAAAUCCUACAGCCACCAAUGCAAACGAUGAUGUUUUGUUGCUGUCAUUCUGUAUACAAAAUAAAGAAAUAGAGGAUCAAUAAAGUACAAUUCAUCCUGA